rnacentral:ncRNA from 1 species
AGAUUUUGAGGUGGAAAAGAUUUCCCAUGCGCUUACUUUUAGUAAAUUAUCAGAAAUGCAGGAUACGCUGACCUGCAAAAGUAU